ACUGAACGCUGGCGGCAGGCCUAACACAUGCAAGUCGAACGAGUGGCGGACGGGUGAGCAAUGUCUGGGACACUGCUCGAUGGAGGGGGAUAACUACUGGAAACGGUAGCCAAUACCGCAUACCAUCGGAUGUGCCCAGAUGGGAUGAGCUAGUAGGUGGGGUAACGGCUCACCUAGGUGACGAUCCCUAGCUGGUCUGAGAGGAUGACCAGCAACACUGGAACUGAGACACGGUCCAGAAUCCUACGGGAGGCAGCAGUGGGGAAUAUUGCACAAUGGGCGCAAGCCUGAUGCAGCCAUGCCGCGUGUAUGAAGAAGGCCUUCGGGUUGUAAAGUACUUUCAGCGAGGAGGCGUUACUCGCAGAAGAAGCACCGGCUAACUCCGUGCCAGCAGCCGCGGUAAUUC
rnacentral:rRNA from 1 species